rnacentral:rRNA from 1 species
GAAGCUUGCUUCUAAAUGACCUAGCGGCGGACGGGUGAGUAACACGUAGGCAACCUGCCCACAAGACAGGGAUAACUACCGGAAACGGUAGCUAAUACCCGAUACAUCCUUUUCCUGCAUGGGAGAAGGAGGAAAGACGGAGCAAUCUGUCACUUGUGGAUGGGCCUGCGGCGCAUUAGCUAGUUGGUGGGGUAAAGGCCUACCAAGGCGACGAUGCGUAGCCGACCUGAGAGGGUGAUCGGCCACACUGGGACUGAGACACGGCCCAGACUCCUACGGGAGGCAGCAGUAGGGAAUCUUCCGCAAUGGGCGAAAGCCUGACGGAGCAACGCCGCGUGAGUGAUGAAGGUUUUCGGAUCGUAAAGCUCUGUUGCCAGGGAAGAACGCUUGGGAGAGUAACUGCUCUCAAGGUGACGGUACCUGAGAAGAAAGCCCCGGCUAACUACGUGCCAGCAGCCGCGGUAAUACGUAGGGGGCAAGCGUUGUCCGGAAUUAUUGGGCGUAAAGCGCGCGCAGGCGGCUCUUUAAGUCUGGUGUUUAAUCCCGAGGCUCAACUUCGGGUCGCACUGGAAACUGGAGAGCUUGAGUGCAAAAGAGGAGAGUGGAAUUCCACGUGUAGCGGUGAAAUGCGUAGAGAUGUGGAGGAACACCAGUGGCGAAGGCGACUCUCUGGGCUGUAACUGACGCUGA